GCAUCGGCUGCGGGAGAGCGCGGCUUCGAGCCGCCGCCGAAGGCGUAAUCUCCCAUGAUCGCUCAGGCUUUGACACCGCAGCCGCGAA
rfam:Betaproteobacteria bacterium RIFCSPLOWO2_02_FTLL_66_14 rifcsplowo2_02_scaffold_2249, whole genome shotgun sequence.